CCUACGGGGGGCUGCAGUGGGGAAUAUUGGACAAUGGGGGCAACCCUGAUCCAGCCAUGCCGCGUGUGUGAAGAAGGCCCUCGGGUUGUAAAGCACUUUCAGUGAGGAAGAACGCCUGGUGGUUAAUACCCAUCAGGAAAGACAUCACUCACAGAAGAAGCACCGGCUAACUCCGUGCCAGCAGCCGCGGUAAUACGGAGGGUGCGAGCGUUAAUCGGAAUUACUGGGCGUAAAGCGCGCGUAGGUGGCUUGAUAAGCCGGUUGUGAAAGCCCCGGGCUCAACCUGGGAACGGCAUCCGGAACUGUCAAGCUAGAGUGCAGGAGAGGAAGGUAGAAUUCCCGGUGUAGCGGUGAAAUGCGUAGAGAUCGGGAGGAAUACCAGUGGCGAAGGCGGCCUUCUGGACUGACACUGACACUGAGGUGCGAAAGCGUGGGUAGCAAACAGGAUUAGAUACCUCUGUAGUC
rnacentral:rRNA from 1 species